CAAUUCCAUUAUCUUUCUUUUUUUUCUUUCUCAAUCAUUCUCUUUCCUUCGAUCUCUAGGAAAGGAUAAAGGAAUUUAGGGUUUCAUAUCUUCAUAGAAAUUUCCCAUUUAGCCUGUCAUUAUCCUUGCACCAGUGAUCUGAUUUCUUAAUUAAGAUUUAAGGCAAUGAAGCCAGGAGUUUCUACAUUGAACCCUAAUGCAGCAUCAUACAUACCAUUGUCUAAAAGAGAAGCAGCUAAAAAUAUUGAAGUUCCUGGAGUGACCACCAAAGUUAGUCAGAGUGGCAAUGAAACUGUCUGGAAUGGGCCUGCAGAGCAUACUACACAGGGCAGGCAGCACAAACAAGCUUCUUCCACUCCUCAAACAUCUGCACUGAAAAGUCACUAUGCCCAUGGCUUCUAUGGUUCAUCAUCACAAAGUUUAUAUGACUUGACAGACAAGCAGAUGAUGGAUGAGGAAUUUGACAUGGAUUUGGAAUAUCUUCAGAUGACAUUUCCUGGCAUAUCUGAUGAGUCUCUUAAUGAUGUCUAUAU
rnacentral:misc_RNA from 1 species